CACGCAAAGAAUAGCUGGGAAUUUAAUAUUGCCAAACUCCUCAAGCUUUGCUGACUAUUACAGGCUGAUGAAUUUGGCAGCUUUAAUCAGUCCGUCUGCAAGGGGAAGCUCCAUUAAAGCAGAGCAAAAAUAAAACAAAGGCACGGCUUGGCUGGCAGUGUCAGUUGAAUGCUGCUAACUGGGCAUAUAAACGCCUGGGCAAUAUCUUUCUGACAAAACACGCGUGUUUGUGUGUGUGUGAGGAGCAGAUAACUGGAUUUGGAUUGGCCGCUCUUAUCGAUAGUAGGAAACAUCGACUAUGGCAUAUCGCAUACAUACACAGAGAUAUGACGACCUCAUGACGAAUAUGCCACGGAUAUAUAGCGCCAAGUGAAUAACGCUAAGGCCCCACAUAGAUAUGAUGAAUCGGGCCAACAGGUUGUACAUAAAGAGAGUUUCUGUAUUAUCACGGCAGAUAUUUAUAUGUUGCACAUGGUUGCUGCUGGGGUUAAUUUACAAUAAAAGGUAGCUCUCUUCACCGACUACUUAUCACCAUGCUCGAACUGAAGACUGCAUCGUUGACACUAAACAAACAGCAGUCCAAAAAGGUGUAAAAGGUCGUCAAACGUGUCGGCGUAUUGCUGAUAAAACGAAAAAAAAA